rnacentral:rRNA from 1 species
UACAGAGGGUGCAAGCGUUGUUCGGAAUUAUUGGCGUAAAGCGCGUGUAGGCGGCUUUGCAAGUCGGGUGUGAAAGCCCUCAGCUCAACUGAGGAAGUGCGCCCGAAACUGCAGAGCUUGAGUACCGGAGAGGAUGGUGGAAUUCCCGAAGUAGAGGUGAAAUUCGUAGAUAUCGGGAGGAACACCGGUGGCGAAGGCGACCAUCUGGACGGAUACUGACGCUGAGACGCGAAAGCGUGGGUAGCAAACGAGGA